AGUUCUUAGAGCUGGCCCGCCCCACCCCCGGGGGACAAUCUGCCUGUGCUCACCUGCUUCUCACCUGCCCCGGGAAUUUAAGGUUCUGAGGGCUUGAGGGUAGAGUCCUCAGGAUGUAAGACCGUGCUUUUCGGCUCCUCAGGCAUCUGCAGAGAGAGGACGGCAGCUCCAAGGACUUUGUCCCAGGCCAGGCGGGUGUCCCUGGUAGAACUAGAACAGCCUGGGCAAGACUGGAGCAGCGUAUGGUGUGUGGCGAGCGCCACCUUGUGAUCAUUGUGCAGAUCGCAUGCCGAAGAGCAGGGCCGUCUUUUACACAGGUGAGCCCUCUUGGCAUGUCUGCACGUUCCCUCUCUAUCUGUAUGCUCAGGCGUGCACGUCUGACGGUCCCUACACGCAUAUAUGCUGACGUCAGGACCUGUGGGGCCUACGUGCAGAAACGCCCGUGCUGACAUCUGUGGACAUACAACAGGACCAGCUGACUUUCUCUGAGGCCCUACCGGCACCAGGUGCUAUGCUGCCUGCCAUGGGAAUGAUAUCAGUACAUUUCUACAAAAGCCCAGGAGUUUCAGUUUCUCUUAAGUCAUGGCUUCACUGAUUGGCUUGUGUGAAGUAAUAUCUGGCAAGUAUUUGGCAAAUGUUUUAUGUUUCAGACACCUGG